GCCCCGGGCGGGCUCCACACCCACCUGCUUCCCUCGGCGGCUCCGGCUCCACUGAGCCGGAGGGUCCGCGGCCCCGCGGGCGCCGCGCACGGGGCGGCGGGGAAAGCCCGGGGCGCCCCGGCCAGGAUGCGCUUGGAGGCUUCGCGGGAUUCCCUGGACCCCUCUGUUUUCGGCCGCGGAGUUAUCCCCCGGCCCUCCCCACACACCCCUGACCCUGGCCCGCUGCUCGACCCCGGGGGACUGGGGAGAGGAGAGCCAGCUCCUGAGUGAUGACCCGGAGUAUCCCCAGGGAAGGAGCGCGCGGGUAACGAGGAGCGCAGAGAGGAUCCGACUUUCCUCCGAGCUCCUCCAGCUCUAUUUGGGGGCCGUCGCCAGCUCCAUAAUCCCCGCUUUCCCAGAGAACUGUGCCAAGUUCCUCCUUGGAGAGGCAGCCAGAUGGACACCCAGAACUUUCCGUAUCUUCGUGUCGAGGAUGAAAAUCUGGUUAAAACAAAUGUAGACGUUGACAAGCACAAUCUACAAAAAGGAGAGAAAAGGAAAAGAAAUAACCUAUUGGUGGUCCUCAAAGGGAUGGAGUAACAUCAAGAAGGGCUUCCCAGAUGGCUCAGUGGUAAAGAAUCUACUUGCUAAUGCACGAAAUGCAGGUUUGAUACCUGGGUCAGGAAGAUCCCCAGAGAAGGAAAAUGGCAACCCAGUCCAGUAUUCUUGCCUUGGAAAUCUCACGGACAGAGGAACCUGCCGAGCUACAGUCCCGAGGGUCGCAAAAGAAUGGCACACGACUUAGUGACUAAACAACAACAACAACAAUAUCAGGAAAAGGCAGCAAUUGUCGCUUAAUGAUAAUUAUGGGUGACAACAGUUGGACUGCCUCUGCUGCUAAGGGAAGGCGAUUAAAGAGAAAAAAAGCAUCAUCAACACUUUAUGGAAAACUUUUUAAAAGUGAUUAUUCAUAUUGUAUGUAAAAAAUCUAGGAAAAAAAGUGUUUUCAUUAGUAAUUCACUAUUAAUUAAAAUGCAUGUCAUUCGAAGUAGUGUCAAUUGAUGGUGUAUUAGAAAACUCUUUGCUAUCUGGUGCAUUGUGCCUGUUUAUAUCUCCUUAGUGGAAUUUUAAUAAAUCAUCAUAAGGGUGACUUUAAUGGCUUAUUUGAAGAAAACAAAGAAUAUCUCUUUCAGAAAGUCAGAAGGAAAAUUGGAUGGUGGGUGUCUAAAUCAAACAUUAAAGCUAGUAUUAGAG
ensembl:lncRNA